rnacentral:rRNA from 1 species
GACGAACGCUGGCGGCGUGCUUAACACAUGCAAGUCGAACGGCAAGGCCCUGCUUUUGUUGGGUGCUCGAGUGGCAAACGGGUGAGUAACACGUGAAUAACCUCCCCAUGACUUUGUGAUAACUUCAGGAAACUGCGGCUAAUACCGGAUAGGAGCUCCUGCUGCAUGGUGGGGGUUGGAAAGUUUCGGCGGUGGGGGGUCGACUGGCGGCUUACUAGCUUGUUGGUGGGGUAGUGGCUGACCAAGGCUUGGACGGGUAGCCGGCCUGAGAGGGUGACCGGCGACAAGGGGACUACGGGAGGGCGCAGACGCGUACGGGAGGCAGCAGUGGGAAAUAUUGCCCAAUGAGCGGGAGCGUGAGGCAGAAACGCUGCGGGCGUGAAGCAGUCCUUCGGGGUGUAAACCGCUUUCGGCUGUGACGAAGCGUGAGUGACGGUAACGGGUAAAGAAGCACCGGCUAACUACGUG